UACGUAGGCAGCGAGCGUUGUUCGGAAUUACUGGGCGUAAAGAGUGUGUAGGCGGUGCUCUAAGUUCGGUGUGAAAUCUCCUGGCUCAACUGGGAAGGUGCGCCGGAAACUGGAGUGCUUGAGCGUGGGAGAGGAAAGCGGAAUUCCUGGUGUAGCGGUGAAAUGCGCAGAUAUCAGGAGGAACACCGGUGGCGAAGGCGGUUCUCUGGGCCUUACCUGACGCUGAGGAGCGAAAGCGUGGGGAGCGAACAGG
rnacentral:rRNA from 1 species